GCAUAUCAAUAAGCGGAGGAAAAGAAACCAACAGGGAUUGCCCCAGUAACGGCGAGUGAAGCGGCAAAAGCUCAAAUUUGAAAUCUGGCUCCUUUCCGGGGUCCGAGUUGUAAUUUGAAGAGGAUGCUUUGGGUGCGUCCGCGGCGUAAGUCCCCUGGAACGGGGCGUCAUAGAGGGUGAGAAUCCCGUCUUGAGUCGCUGGGCGCGCCCGUCUAAAGCUCCUUCGACGAGUCGAGUUGUUUGGGAAUGCAGCUCUAAGUGGGUGGUAAAUUUCAUCUAAAGCUAAAUAUUGGCCGGAGACCGAUAGCGAACAAGUAGAGUGAUCGAAAGGUUAAAAGCACCUUGAAAAGGGAGUUAAAUAGCACGUGAAAUUGUUGAAAGGGAAGCGCUUGCAGCCAGACUCGAGCGCGGAGGUUCAGCGGGCAUGUUAUGCCCGUGCACUCCUCCGCGCCCGGGCCAGCAUCAGCUUUGGCGGCCGGUCAAAGGCCCCCGGAAUGUGUCGUCCUCCGGGACGUCUUAUAGCCCGGGGGUGCAAUGCGGCCAGCCGGGGCUGAGGAACGCGCUUCGGCACGGAUGCUGGCGUAAUGGCUGUAAGCGGCCCCGUCUUGAAACACGGACC
rnacentral:rRNA from 1 species